CAUCAUGGCACUCAUCACUGUAAUAUUAAAAAAAAAAAAAACUAAUCCCCCCACGCAAAAAAACCCACCCCUUUCGUUCCAUUUAAAGGCUGUUUACAUUUAGUAACUUAGUUGUUUAAAUGUUAUGGUGUGGCUUGAAUAUUAUCAGUGUUCCUUUGAUUUGAAGGACUUAUUUUUUUUUUUUUAAAACAGUAUUCUUUAAAUCAAGAAAACUCCAGAACUCCUCAUGCAGAUGCCAGUGUAAUGUAAGAACGCAUGCAUACAUUUACUUAGUUUUGAGACAAAAACUGGUUUGCUUUAUUUUGUAACUUCAAACAAUAGUAGAGGAAUGAGGCACACCUUAUGUGGGUUGAAUUCUCAAUGCAACCAUGUAGACAUGCAACGCUCAUGCAUUACCUUGAGAGGCUUGCACAGAAAUGACUGGAAAAUAGAAAGAAAAUAUGAAGGUACAAGUGCAAAAACAUGUGCUACAUUCAGCUUUAUUUGAAGGACAAAGAAUAUCCACACAGUUUCAGGUUGCCAAUUUAUCAAUGUUUCUAUGUAAAUGUCCCCAAUAAUAUUUAGGGGGUACACAGUUUCACUCUUUC